rfam:Zygosaccharomyces rouxii strain CBS732 chromosome A complete sequence.
AUCCAUGACCAAAGAAUCGUCAAUUUUCGAAGCCUGCAAAAGGGAUGGGUACCCCCAUUCAAAUAAUAUGCUUUGGGAUGAAAGUCUCCGACCUGACAACUUGCGGAAAACGCAAUGAGAUUUAAAAAUUUCAAAAUGUUUAAAUCAACUCAUUAAGUAGAUGGUUAUUCGAUUAUCUGCUUUGCCACCUAGAUCGUCACAGAUGGUCUAGUGCUUUUCGGUAUGGGAAACCAUUGUGGUUUCCAAACCAUAGUUAUGACGAUUGCUCAAGGAUUAUCCUUUGAGUAACCCAAUGGAGCUUACUUUCUUGGUCCAUGGA